UACAUGGGGUGCAAACGUUGCUCGGAAUUAUUGGGCGGAAAGCGCGCGUAGGCGGUUACUCAAGUCGGAUGUGAAAGCCCUCGGCUUAACUGAGGAAGUGCACCCGAAACUGAGUAGCUAGAGUACUAAAGAGGGUCGCGGAAUUCCCGGUGUAGAGGUGAAAUUCGUAGAUAUCGGGAGGAACACCGGUGGCGAAGGCGGCGACCUGGGUAGAUACUGACGCUGAGGCGCGAAAGCGUGGGGAGCAAACAGG
rnacentral:rRNA from 1 species